rnacentral:rRNA from 1 species
CGCGGCCUAUCAGCUUGUUGGUGGGGUAGUGGCCUACCAAGGCGGCGACGGGUAGCCGGCCUGAGAGGGUGACCGGCCGCAUUGGGACUGAGAUACGGCCCAGACUCCUACGGGAGGCAGUAGUGGGGAAUAUUGCACAAUGGGCGCAAGCCUGAUGCAGCAACGCCGCGUGCGGGAUGACGGCCUUCGGGUUGUAAACCGCUUUCAGCAGGGACGAAGCUUUUUGUGACGGUACCUGCAGAAGAAGCACCGGCUAACUACGUGCCAGCAGCCGCGGUGAUACGUAGGGUGCGAGCGUUGUCCGGAUUUAUUGGGCGUAAAGGGCUUGUAGGCGGUUGAUCGCGUCGGAAGUGGAAACUUGAUGCUUAACGUUGAGCGUGCUUUCGAUACGGGUUGACUUGAGGAAGGUAGGGGAGAAUGGAAUUCCUGGUGGAGCGGUGGAAUGCGCAGAUAUCAGGAGGAACACCAGUGGCGAAGGCGGUUCUCUGGACCUUUCCUGACGCUGAGGAGCGAAAGCGUGGGGAGCGAACAGGCUUAGAUACCCUGGUAGUCCACGCUGUAAACGGUGGGUACUAGGUGUGGGGUCCAUUCCACGGAUUCUGUGCCGUAGCUAACGCAUUAAGUACCCCGCCUGGGGAGUACGG